rnacentral:rRNA from 1 species
GACGAACGCUGGCGGCGUGCUUAACACAUGCAAGUCGAACGGAAAGGCCCUGCUUUUGUGGGGUGCUCGAGUGGCGAACGGGUGAGUAACACGUGAGUAACCUGCCCUUGACUUUGGGAUAACUUCAGGAAACUGGGGCUAAUACCGGAUAGGAGCUCCUGCUGCAUGGUGGGGGUUGGAAAGUUUCGGCGGUUGGGGAUGGACUCGCGGCUUAUCAGCUUGUUGGUGGGGUAGUGGCUUACCAAGGCUUUGACGGGUAGCCGGCCUGAGAGGGUGACCGGCCACAUUGGGACUGAGAGACGGCCCAGACUCCUACGGGAGGCAGCAGUGGGGAAUAUUGCACAAUGGGCGGAAGCCUGAUGCAGCAACGCCGCGUGCGGGAUGACGGCCUUCGGGUUGUAAACCGCUUUCGCCUGUGACGAAGCGUGAGUGACGGUAAUGGGUAAAGAAACACCGGCUAACUACGUG